rnacentral:tRNA from 1 species
GCCGGGGUCGCCUAGCCUGGUAGGGCGCAGUCACCGAUUCGAUGCGAGGAUUGGGAUGAAUUACGCGUAUGCCUGGAACCUUGGCUUUUCAGAAGUUUCUUCUGAACGGAAAGCCUGUGACCGUAAUGGUCUCGUGAGUUCAAAUCUCACCCCCGGCG